rnacentral:misc_RNA from 1 species
GAACUUGAUCUGGAUCAGUUAUCCGAAGCCCCGUGAACCGGGGCUUUGCGGCCAUUGAUCCAGGUCAAUAUCGCGCCCCCGGCCGACGCUAACCUGAGCCCAUCUUCAAAACGCACAGGGAUCCAGGAGGCCAGCAUCAUGUUCAUCGACGAAGUGGUUCUCGCCGGCAUUGUCACGGUUGGUCUGAUGAUCCUGUUCUGCGGUGGAGUCGGAUAUUUCAUCUGGAAGGACAGCCACAAGAAGGGCUGAUUUCCUUCCCGAUCACAGAGCACGCAAGGCACUUGGGGCGACUUCGGUCGCCCGUU